rnacentral:rRNA from 1 species
GAAGAGGUCUGGAAAGGCCCGUCAGAGAAGGUAACAACCCUGUAGUCGAAACUCCGUUCCCUCCCGAGUGGAUCCUGAGUACGGCGGGACACGUGAAAUCCCGUCGGAAGCAGGGAGGACCAUCUCCCAAGGCUAAAUACUCCCUAGUGACCGAUAGUGAACCAGUACCGUGAGGGAAAGGUGAAAAGCACCCCGGGAGGGGAGUGAAAGAGAACCUGAAACCGUGUGCCUACAAGUAGUCAGAGCCCGUUAACGGGUGAUGGCGUGCCUUUUGUAGAAUGAACCGGCGAGUUGCGAUUUCGUGCAAGGUUAAGCCGAAAGGCGGAGCCGCAGCGAAAGCGAGUCUGAAGAGGGCGAAAUAGUACGAGGUCGCAGACCCGAAACCAGGUGAUCUACCCAUGUCCAGGGUGAAGGCAAGGUAACACUUGCUGGAGGCCCGAACCCACGCACGUUGAAAAGUGCGGGGAUGAGGUGUGGGUAGGGGUGAAAUGCCAAUC